AACCUAAAUUAAUCAAAACUAAAAAAAAAAAUAUCCCCCCGUCAACCCAAAACCCAAAUCACGGAUACCAAAAUUCAAAUCAAAUCUAAUUGGUUACUAUUUGUAUUCCGUAAUUUUUUUUUCAACCUUCUAAUUAAUAGGAGUAGAGUCUUAGUCCACCUUCUAAAUUGCAUUCCACACCAAACAAACAAAACCCCAAAAAUUUAUCUCCUGCAAAACCUAAAACAAAAACUAAGCACCUCUACCAGGAUACCGCCGCCGUACUGAUUCAACCUCCGGUGAAAGCCGAUAAACUCUCCACCACUCUGAAUUUCGAGUAUUUUAACAAACAUCCUCUCACGUAUGUUUAAGAUACAAUUGACGAGAUAAGGCAGAGUUGAAUCUCGUAUGUUACCGGAUAUCAUCAACCAAAUAACGAUGAAGAUGAAAAGAUGAUGGUGAUCAAGUGUGAGUUGGGCUAGCUCAAGGAGUUGGUUAUUGAUCUAUUUUUGUAUUUUAUUUUUUUGACAUUAGAUAGGUCUUUGAUUUUUGUUGUUGUACUAUUAUGGAUUAUUUUGUCAAUAAAUAAUAGGAUUUAUUAUUGAAUGAAUGCGAUUUUAUUUUAUUUAUUUAAA